rnacentral:rRNA from 1 species
CCUACGGGAGGCUGCAGUGGGGAAUAUUGGACAAUGGGGGGAACCCUGAUCCAGCCAUGCCGCGUGUGUGAAGAAGGCCCUCGGGUUGUAAAGCACUUUCAGUGAGGAAGAACGCCUGGUGGUUAAUACCCAUCAGGAAAGACAUCACUCACAGAAGAAGCACCGGCUAACUCCGUGCCAGCAGCCGCGGUAAUACGGAGGGUGCGAGCGUUAAUCGGAAUUACUGGGCGUAAAGCGCGCGUAGGUGGCUUGAUAAGCCGGUUGUGAAAGCCCCGGGCUCAACCUGGGAACGGCAUCCGGAACUGUCAAGUUAGAGUGCAGGAGAGGAAGGUAGAAUUCCCGGUGUAGCGGUGAAAUGCGUAGAGAUCGGGAGGAAUACCAGUGGCGAAGGCGGCCUUCUGGACUGACACUGACACUGAGGUGCGAAAGCGUGGGUAGCAAACAGGAUUAGAUACCCGAGUAGUC